rnacentral:lncRNA from 1 species
UACUACUACAAAUCACAAGUCUUACAAUAUAAGAUUACAAUAUCCCGAACUUCGUUAGUUUCUAAUGAAAAAGCAGAAAGUGUAUCUUGAAUAAACAAAAAAAAAAUGGCCUAACUUCAGCUCACACCGAAUUAUACGUGAUGAAACCAAUAAUCAAACUCGUCAUCCAAAAUAACCUGCACGUACAAAAGUUAGUAACAAGAAAAAUCAACGAAUAUGAAAGUCAGUUUUACCUCAAAAAAAUCAAAUUUUCUACAUUUAUUACCAAGUGAUAACCAAAUAUGAAAGUCAACGAAUAUAAAUGGUGAAUCUAUAAAGGAAACCAAGUUAAAGAAGACCAGAGGAAAUAGAACAUACCAAUAACAAGAUAUUUGAGUUUAUCAUCCAAGAUAACAUGCAUCUGCAUGUACAGCAUGUACAAGACAUAUAACAAUUAUAUAUAUGAAACAAGUUCCAAAAUAAUAUUAACGUUAACAAUACAAGUGAAGGCAUAUAUUCUCAAAUAUCCCCCAAUAUAUAAAUAACUUACAUUUAUGUAUCAGAAGAAACAAGUGAUAUCACUAUAUCAACAAUAGAGACCCAAUUAAGACAAUCAACCAACAAAAGUUGAUGAUCUAUAAAUAAAUAUAAAUAAUAUAGAACAGAAAGGUAUAUAUUGCCUCUUAGUGAAAAUCCUCAAAAUUGUGUUCUUGCACAAAUAAUGAAUAUAAUGUAAAAUACGAGAAAAUUAAACAGACAAUAAGCAACAGUAAAUAUGAAAGAUUAACCAAGCAAACAAGGGAAAUUGUCAAGAAUUAAUACCCGAUAUUAUCUUCACGGUCUUUAUCAGAUAACUUCUCAUUCUCUUUCAAAAGUGGAAUUCUUGGAUUUCUGUUUUUUCGUGGCCACUCAUAGCAUCAAAAAAUCUUUAUCUCCAUUCUUCACGUAUUUCUCAUCAAAUCAAAUGUAACAAGAAAUAAUCAAGAAACAGAGUUAUGAAACGAUAGAGGAAGGAAAGAUAUGUUCUCCCUAUUGGAUAAUGAAUAAUUAAAAAUCCUAUCCAACAAAUCAAAAUAGAGACUUGGCUUGUCACGUGAAUAUGAAAAAAAAUUAACAUAAGUUCAUUACAAUGGCAAACCUACUACAACCAUUUCACAACCUGUGGUUUCACGUUCCAUCGCACUCAACCACCAUCUAUAGCCAUUAAUGACAGUAUAAUAAUAAUGAAAUUAAAAUAAGCAACACCAAGACAGAUAGUGAUUAGAAAAGCAAAACUUACUUUUGGAGCCAAUUUUAGAGAAUUUUCCAUCAACAAGGUGAGCGUCGAAAUCGGCCAAAUGAGCAGUCCGAGGAAUCACCGUUAAAAUCUUUGUCCGAUUAAAAGCGUAUACUGUAAAUCAUGGUUCCAACAACUUUCUUGUGCUUUUUUUUAUACCAAUUACAUUAAUCGUCGAUAUAGAAUAAUUUUACAAAGUAACUCACACACUAAAAAAAUAAGAAGAACAUAAUAAUCAAAUUAAAAGCAGUCUCAUUUUUCUAUCGAAACAGCAAAGGAUAACAAAUGUUGGAAUUAAUUCGUGAGAUAUGAGUUGAAGAGUCAUUACAUCGCAAAAUUUCAAUUUCUUUCGGCAUUUAACAAAUUAUGAAUUAUCAUUAUAUACCGUUCUCUUCUUAUCUUCCGCAAUUUCCCACUUCCCGUAUCAAACAAUCAAGUGGGUUGUUAAAGAAAUUAAUAGCAAUCAUAUUCUUAUUUUCAAUUAAAAAUAACGCAAACAUAUACCUAAUGAGUUAUUUGAUACAAUUAAUCUGUUUCUAAAAAAAAAAGAAAAAAAAAACCAGCGAUGAAGGGCUAAAGAUUUGAUGAUUUGAAAUUGAUCACCAUAAAUAGUGAAAGCAAAGAUGGAAAUACCUUCGGCUUUCUUCUUCGCUGUCGUGAUGUGAAGGAAACAGAUCGACGCGUUUUUCUUCUUCGCGGCGUUCUUCUUCUUCGCGGCGUUGUUCUUCUUUGCAGGGCUAGGGCUUUGUUUCG